UUUAACAAGGUUUUUUUUCAAAAAACAAAGAAAGAAAAAGAAAAUAAAUGAAAACAAAACAUAAAAUGGGUGUCAAGAUUACUCCUUAUCUGUCAUUUCAACCUAAGACGAUGCAAUUCAAUAAUGCUAUUCAUUCUUUCCUUGCAUUCGACUCUAAAAAGAAGAGAUAAAAAAGAAAAAAGAAAAUUAAGGAUAUGCAUUCUAAUAAGGUGUAGUAGCCCUUUUUUUACUCUGUCACAUUGUUUACAAUAAUAACCAGUAGUGAUUUUUUUAAACUAAACUUGGAAUUUUCACAAAGUAUCCCUUACUCCCAUCAAUUUAGUACAUUGUCUUCAAUACCAAAAUUAUGAGUGAAGCAUAAAUUACUAGAAUAAAACACAACAUAUAUAUAUAUAUAUAUAUAUAUUAUCAUUCACUUUACUCAAGGCCUACCACAACUUAAAUAUCACGCAUUAACCCAUUUAAAUGUAUUAAUAUAAUUAAACAUGCUAAAUUUAAGAUUUAUCAACAAAAUAUCAAAAUAAGUGGAAAUAUCUACUCUUCCACUUCAAUUUACAAACUUGUCAUCUCCUUGCUUAUAAUCUCCCUCUCAACUACUACUUCUUUAACACGUAUAUAAAAUACCCAUUUAAUAAAGGUGAUAAAUACCCACUAAUAUGGCUUAGCUGCUUAACAAAUUUUUAUAACCUUAAAAGCAUGCAUGAAUAAGAAAAAUGUGACGUAUGCUCUUACCUCUUCUAAGCCUUGUUCACUCGAACAAAAUUUCCCGCAUAGAAAUACAAACCCUAGACAGUGGAUGAUGGAAAUGGUCAAGAGAAUGCUUCAAAUGGAGUGUUUUUAGGGUGAGUUUCAAGAGAAGAGGAUGAACUAUGGCGAAGUACUGAAUAGAUUGAAGAGGAAAAAUAAAAAAGAGGAAGGAAUAUGGCUUUCUUCUCUUGUUCUCUAAGGGUGUUGACCCUAUCAAGGAAAAUAGGGUACUCAACCCCUUUCCUUGGCUUUUUCGAAUUUAAAAUUACAAUUAG
rnacentral:lncRNA from 1 species